rnacentral:misc_RNA from 1 species
AACGCACAUUGCGCCCUUUGGCAUUCCGAGGGGCAUGCCCGUUCGAGCGUCAUUACACCACCUCAAGCCCCGCUUGGUGAUGGGUGCCCGGGCCAUCGAUGGGACCCCCAUCGAUUCCGGCGCCCCGAAUUCAUGGGCCGGCCGUCGCCGUCCGACCGCGUUGUGGCACGCUUUCAUGCUCGCGGACGGGGGAGUGGCGGCCGUCGCCGUUAAGCCUUCUAUCACAGGUUGACCUCGGAUCGGGUAGGGAUACCCGCUGAACUUAA